rnacentral:rRNA from 1 species
AGGGCACCACCAGGAGUGGAGCCUGCGGCUUAAUUCGACUCAACACGGGAAAACUCACCCGGCCAGGACACCGGGAGGAUUGACAGACUGAGAGCUCUUUCUUGAUUCGGUGGGUGGUGGUGCAUGGCCGCUCUUAGUUGGUGGAGCGAUUUGUCUGGUUAAUUCCGAUAACGAACGAUACUCUAGCCUGCUAAAUAGACAGGCGAUCCAUUGUGGUCGUCCUGAUCAGCUUCUUAAAGGGACAAGUGGCGUUCCUAGCCACACGAAAUUGAGCAAUAACGGGUCUGUGAUGCCCUUAGAUGUCCGGGGCCGCACGCGCGCUACAAUGAGGGACGCAAUGUGCCCGCAAUCCCUGACCCGAAAGGGAUGGGUAAUCAUUUCAAUUUCCCUCGUAAUAGGGAUUGAGCAUUGUAACUAUUGCUCAUGAACGAGGAACUCCUAGUAAGCGCGAGUCAUAAGCUUGCGUUGACUACGUCCCUGCCCUUUGUACACACCGCCCGUCGCUACUACCGAUUGAAU